rnacentral:rRNA from 1 species
GACGAACGCUGGCGGCGUGCCUAAUACAUGCAAGUCGAACGAGAGCGACCGGUGCUUGCACUGGUCAAUCUAGUGGCGAACGGGUGAGUAACACGUGGGUAACCUGCCCAUCAGAGGGGGAUAACAUCCGGAAACGGAUGCUAAAACCGCAUAGGUCUUCGAGCCGCAUGGCUUGAAGAGGAAAAGAGGCGCAAGCUUCUGCUGAUGGAUGGACCCGCGGUGCAUUAGCUAGUUGGUGAGGUAACGGCUCACCAAGGCCGUGAUGCAUAGCCGACCUGAGAGGGUGAUCGGCCACAUUGGGACUGAGACACGGCCCAAACUCCUACGGGAGGCAGCAGUAGGGAAUCUUCCGCAAUGGACGCAAGUCUGACGGAGCAACGCCGCGUGAGUGAAGAAGGUUUUCGGAUCGUAAAACUCUGUUGUUAGAGAAGAGCAAGUGCUAGAGUAACUGUUAGCGCCUUGACGGUAGCUAAACAGAAAGCCACGGCUAACUACGUG